rnacentral:rRNA from 1 species
CCUGGCCUUGACAUACUAAGAACUUUCCAGAGAUGGAUUGGUGCCUUCGGGAACUUAGAUACAGGUGCUGCAUGGCUGUCGUCAGCUCGUGUCGUGAGAUGUUGGGUUAAGUCCGCAACGAGCGCAACCCUUUUCCUUAUUGCCAGCGGGUAAUGCCGGGAACUUUAAGGAUACUGCCAGUGACAAACUGGAGGAAGGCGGGGACGACGUCAAGUCAUCAUGGCCCUUACGGCCAGGGCUACACACGUGCUACAAUGGUCGGUACAAAGGGUUGCUACCUCGCGAGAGGAUGCUAAUCUCAAAAAGCCGAUCGUAGUCCGGAUCGCAGUCUGCAACUCGACUGCGUGAAGUCGGAAUCGCUAGUAAUCGCGGAUCAGAAUGUCGCGGUGAAUACGUUCCCGGGCCUUGUACACACCGCCCGUCACACCAUGGGAGUUUGUUGCACCAGAAGUAGGUAGUCUAACCGCAAGGAGGACGCUUACCACGGUGUGGCCGAUGACUGGGGUGAAGUCGUAACAAGGUAGGCGUAGAUGA